GGGGAUGUAGCUCAAACGGGAGAGCGCUGCCUUUGCAAGGCAGAGGUUAGGGGUUCGAUCCCCCUCAUCUCCA
rnacentral:tRNA from 1 species